UCUCCGUAGGUGAACCUGCGGAGGGAUCAUUACAGAGUUCUCGCCCUCGCGGGUAGAUCUCCCACCCACUGUUAUCGUUACUGUGUUGCUUUGGCGGGCCGCCGGGCCCCGCUCGGCCGCCGGCUCCGGCUGGCGCGCGCCCGCCAGAGGCCCAGCAAACUCUGAAUGUUAAUGUCGUCUGAGUACUAUAUAAUAGUUAAAACUUUCAACAACGGAUCUCUUGGUUCUG
rnacentral:misc_RNA from 1 species